rnacentral:rRNA from 1 species
UGGAGCUAUUGGCUUUGAAUUGUAUUGUGGAAAUGUAUUACCAACAGAGGUGCAGGUGCCAGCCUAUUGAAAUAAAGCGUCAAUGAGGGUGAGAAUCCUGUUUGUCAUGUGCAGCCCUUUGUGCACGGUGUAUAUUUGCUGAGUCACACUCCUUGGCAUUGGAAUGCAAAGUGGGUGGUAAGUUUCAUGUAAAGGUAAACAUGCAAUUGAGACUGAUAGCACACAAGUACCAUGAGGGAAAUAUGAAAAGGACUUUGAAAAGAGAAUUAAAUGAGUUUGUAUUUGCUGAACACAAAGUAAACAGACUUGAUUUGCUUGGUGGGAGUGUUGCACUUGCUUGACAAGAGCUUUGGGCUGUGGGUGUAAUGAUUCUUUCUUUGCAUGCCAGUUUCUAUUUGUACAUCUGAUUACCUUUGCACAUGAAUGAUAAGUCUCCUGUGGGGGGUGGAUUGCAUGUGCAUGUAAUGAUUUGUGUUUUGAUAAAUGUGUCUGGUGUAUGUGUGUGUUCCUGUGCUUGGGGAUGCUUCCUUCCUUGGACUUACAAGCCCUGACACACACAUGCUGGCAAAAUGCUUCUGCUUGACCCGUCUUGAAACACGGACCAAGGAGUCUAACAGAUGUGCAAAGUUUGAAGGUGGUAUACCUUUGUGUGCAAUGAAAGUGUCAGCUGGGAUAUGUGCACCAGCACCCAAUUAAUUAGCGGACAGAGGUUUGAGUUGGAGCAUAUCUAUUAGGACCCGAAAGAUGGUGAACUAUGCCUGAACAGAAUGAAUUCAGAGGAAACUCUGAUGGAGGUUCGUAUCGAUACUGACGUGCAAAUCGUUCGUCAUAUUUGGGUAUAGGGGCGAAAGACUAAUCGAACCAUCUAGUAGCUGGUUCCCUCCGAAGUUUCCCUCAGGAUAGCUGGAGUUGCUCAGUUUUAUCAGGUAAAGCGAAUGAUUAGAGGAAUUGGGGACAGGUUUGUCUUUGACCUAUUCUCAAACUUUAAAUGGGUAAUAUGUAGUGGUUGCUGUAUGGAACUUCUAAGAUAAAUGGCAAUAUUGGGUGGGCCAUUUUUGGUAAGCAGAACUGGCGAUGAGGGAUGAACCUAAUGUG